CUACACGACCGUACCGCAAACCGACACUGGUGCGCGAGAUGAGUAUUCUAAGGCGCUUGAGAGAACUCAGGAGAAGGAACUCGGCAAAUUGACACCGUAACUUCGGAAGAAGGUGUGCCUUUAGUAGGUGAACCUGUACAAGGGGAGCCCAAUGAGGUUGCAAAAAAUCGGUGGCUGCGACUGUUUAAUAAAAACACAGCACUCUGCAAACACGAAAGUGGACGUAUAGGGUGUGACGCCUGCCCGGUGCUGGAAGAUUAAAUGAUGGGGUGCAAGCUCUUGAUUGAAGUCCCAGUAAACGGCGGCCGUAACUAUAACGGUCCUAAGGUAGCGAAAUUCCUUGUCGGGUAAGUUCCGACCUGCACGAGUGGCGUAACGAUGGCCACACUGUCUCCUCCUGAGACUCAGCGAAGUUGAAAUGUUUGUGAUGAUGCAAUCUCCCCGCGGAAAGACGGAAAGACCCCAUGAACCUUUACUGUAGCUUUGUAUUGGACUUUGAACAGAUCUGUGUAGGAUAGGUGGGAGGCUUUGAAGUGUGGUCGCUAGAUCGCAUGGAGCCAACGUUGAAAUACCACCCUGGUGUGUUUGAGGUUCUAACCUAGGCCCGUAAUCCGGGUCGGGGACAGUGCAUGGUAGGCAGUUUGACUGGGGCGGUCUCCUCCCAAAGCGUAACGGAGGAGUUCGAAGGUACGCUAGGUACGGUCGGACAUCGUGCUAAUAGUGCAAUGGCAUAAGCGUGCUUAACUGCGAGACUGACAAGUCGAGCAGAUGCGAAAGCAGGACAUAGUGAUCCGGUGGUUCUGUAUGGAAGGGCCAUCGCUCAACGGAUAAAAGGUACUCUGGGGAUAACAGGCUGAUACCGCCCAAGAGUUCAUAUCGACGGCGGUGUUUGGCACCUCGAUGUCGGCUCAUCUCAUCCUGGGGCUGUAGCCGGUCCCAAGGGUAUGGCUGUUCGCCAUUUAAAGAGGUACGUGAGCUGGGUUUAAAACGUCGUGAGACAGUUUGGUCCCUAUCUUCCGUGGGCGCUGCAGAUUUGAGGAAGCCUGCUCCUAGUACGAGAGGACCGGAGUGGACACACCUCUGGUGUAUCGGUUGUCACGCCAGUGGCAUUGCCGAGUAGCUAUGUGUGGAAGAGAUAACCGCUGAAAGCAUCUAAGCGGGAAACUCGUUUCAAGAUGAGAUCUGCCGGGGCCUUGAGCCCCCUAAAGAGUCGUUCAAGACCAGGACGUUGAUAGGUCGGGUGUGGAAGCGCAGUAAUGCGUUAAGCUAACCGAUACUAAUUGCUCGUGCGGCUUGACCU
rnacentral:rRNA from 1 species